AAAGAUUUUUAAAAACAGCUAGCCUAUACACUGCAUAAAGAAAAGAGAUAUCAGAUCAAAUUUAGAAGAAUAAAUGAUUAUGAAAAUUGAGUGCCCAAUGCUGCUGGUGUCCAUGCUUUUGAAAAAAGAAGUCAUGACUCAGAUUCCAUAGUGAGAAACAAGUCAUGAAUGAAGAUUGAGAAGGAGUGUUUAUGUUUGUCUCCAUUAAAACUUCUGUGGUGAAUUGUUGGUGUCUGGCUCGUCCAAUGAUCAACCCAUUGGUAGACUACCAGAUUCCAACCUGAAGGAUACAUGGGAAGAGUAAAACCUUUUUCAUUUAUAUAAAAACUUACUAGCUAUAGUCUAGAAGAAUGUCCUGAAACCUGAAUGUUUAGUCCA